rnacentral:rRNA from 1 species
CCUACGGGGGGCUGCAGUGGGGAAUAUUGCACAAUGGGCGCAAGCCUGAUGUAGCCAUGCCGCGUGUGUGAAGAAGGCCUUCGGGUUGUAAAGCACUUUCAGCGGGGAGGAAGGCGUUAAGGUUAAUAACCUUGGCGAUUGACGUUACCCGCAGAAGAAGCACCGGCUAACUCCGUGCCAGCAGCCGCGGUAAUACGGAGGGUGCAAGCGUUAAUCGGAAUUACUGGGCGUAAAGCGCACGCAGGCGGUCUGUCAAGUCGGAUGUGAAAUCCCCGGGCUCAACCUGGGAACUGCAUUCGAAACUGGCAGGCUAGAGUCUUGUAGAGGGGGGUAGAAUUCCAGGUGUAGCGGUGAAAUGCGUAGAGAUCUGGAGGAAUACCGGUGCCGAAGGCGGCCCCCUGGACAAAGACUGACGCUCAGGUGCGAAAGCGUGGGGAGCAAACAGGAUUAGAUACCCGAGUAGUC